rnacentral:lncRNA from 1 species
AUGUCAGUUAAGAGUAAUCUAUGGUCCUUUCAAAACUCUUGCUGGGUUUUGCCUAAGAUUCGAAGCCUAAAGCUCUGAAUUCUGACCUCCCUGAUUACUGACUGAGGAAACAAUAUCCCCAAAAUGGAAAGCUCCAGGUCUGUGUGCUUAGAUUUAGGCUCCAAGGACUGAACACCCUGCAUGUAAGGUGUGUGUCUAAGCAGUAUUUAUGACAUAACAAACCAGCCAAGAGCUGGAGGUUCUGAUCAGCAAAUAAGGAAGGAACAACAUCUGACAUCUUUACCCACUUUAACUGAAAGUUCCCACAAUAAUCUCAUCAUGAGGCUCACUCGUUCUCACCUCCAGAGUUCUGGGGGGUAAAAUAAUACAUAAAUGCAAGGAUUAUCUUAUAUAUACACCAAGGGAAAGGAAAUACUGCCUAUUAAGAAUUAGCAGCUAACAGCUGGGCGCGGUGGCUCACACCUGUAAUCCCAGCACUUUGGGAGGCCAAGGCAGGCGGAUCACAAGAUCAGGAGUUCGAGACCAUGCUGGCUAACAAGCAUCAAGCAAAGAACUUGUAAUACGCUGAAUGCUGCAUAGAAGGUUUUGAAACUACUUACCUGCUGUGGAACACCUGUAUAACUUUAAAAUGCAUCAAUCAAUCUCGAGAGUAUGAUCAUGCUUCCUGCUUUUAAGGAUCUGAAGUUAACUGCAACUCCAAGUAUACAAGACUUCUUUGGGACCCAUGGAAGCAUCUCUACAUGCUCAUGUUUGCCAGAUUCAGUGGCCUCCUGAAACCUGGCCCUAGCUAAUAAGUUAAAAAGCUCUAAGUAAUCCCGAGCUGCAUUUGAAUCUCCAAGAUCACUUGUUCAUGGGUUGGUAAUACUUUAAAGAGCCAUUUGUUUAACUGCUAAUCUGGAUCUUAUAUUCUGAGCCCCAGCUUUUUUCUAAAGCAAAGAAAAUACAAAAUAAAAGUAAGACCAAAUGCCUUUGUACCAUGGAGAGAGAAAUGA